UAAAGCUUUUGCGGUUUGGGAUGGGCCUGCGUCCUAUCAGGUAGUUGGUGAGGUAAAUGCUCACCAAGCCUAUGACGGGUAGCUGGUCUGAGAGGAUGGUCAGCCAGACUGGGACUGCGACACGGCCCAGACUCCUACGGGAGGCAGCAACUAGGAAUUGUGCGCAAUGGACGAAAGUCUGACGCCGCGACAUCGCGUGGAGGAUGAAGGUCUUCGGAUUGUAAACUCCUUUUCUUACCGAACAAGUUCUGAGUGUAGGUAAGGAAUAAGUGCCUGCUAACCACGUGCCAGAAGCAUCGGUAAUACGUGGGGCACGAGCGUUAUCCGGAUUUACUGGGCGUAAAGAGAAGCGUAGGCGGCUCGAUAAGUUUGGUGUUAAAUCUUCCGGCUCAACCGGAAACAAGCACCGAAAACUAUCGAGAUUGAGUCGAGUAGGGAAGAGGGGAAUUCCUGGUGGAGCGGUUAAAUGCGUAGAUAUCAGGAGGAAUACCAAGGGCGAGGGCACCUCUUUGGACUCGUACUGACGCUGAGGCUCGAAAGCGUGGGUAGCAAAACGGAUUAGAUACCCGUGUAGUCCACGCCGUAAACGAUCCCUGUUAGAUGUAUGUUUUGU
rnacentral:rRNA from 1 species